UGACAUCCCUGCAAAUCUCUUAGCAGGUUUCACAAGCCUUUUGCUUAAAAUUUUAAACCAAAGAAAAAGAAAAACCCAAAUAUUAGUAUUAAAAGAUUUUUCUAAAAUCUCGGGAAAAAAAGAAGAAGCAAAAUCAAGGUUAGAAAGAAAAAAGCAAAAAGUCUUCGCUUCCAUGUUCUUCUCUUCUUCAGUCGCUGGCAGGUAUUAACUUAUUGCUUGUGAAUUCAAGCCAUAUUCUGCUAGAAUGGUUGAUUUGAAAGUGAAAUGUAGUUGGGGUUGGUAGACCAAUAGCAAUGGCGUUG
rnacentral:lncRNA from 1 species